GAGUCACAUAACAAAACAGCGUAUAAAAAGGAUGCAAAAAAAACCCUCACACAUCAUGUAUAUACAAAUAGAUGGAGUGUAUACAUACAGAGGAAAGAGAGAAAAAAAGAGAAUAUGGGUAGCCUUUUCUUUAUGUUCUGUCCAACAACCACAAUAAGUUUGCCCAGGCUUCGUUACCUCUAGACUCAUCCACCAAAAGGUCCAAGGACCUCAGCUCCGAAAGAAAGACAGAUACCCUGUCUGCUGUAGAAAACCUUUGUUGAUCAUCUUUAUAUCUCAUCCAGAUUUUAAAGAUGGACGGUUUUGCUAUUGUUAGAGUCAGAUUUGUAAAAUAUCUGUUACUUGCUGAUGUGCACAGUUCUACUCUAAAGGUGAUAUUAAACUGAGACAUAAGUGCGGAAACCUGGUUCCAAAAGCCACCCAGACAACGACAUGAAACAAACAUAUGUUCUGUAUCUUCUUUUACCAAACAAAAAGCACAUAGAGGAGUGGGGACCAGCUUCCAUUUAUACAGGUUUGACAUAUUUGGAAGAAUUCCAUGUAAUAUUUUGAAAUUGUAUUCGGCCAAUUUCCUAUCUGGAGAUAAUUUUAUUGUUUGUCUCUGUCACACAUUGCUCCACAUGAUGUUGUUUGUUUGGUCGGCUAGUGCAGCAUACCAAUAUGUCUGCAUAUAUGAUGUCUUUAUUUUUUCUUUUAACAACAGCUUAUAGAUUAUCUCGCAAGUAUAGCCUGUCGGAGCAAUGUGUGCAUCAGUGUUGUCAUCUCUUAAUGUUAUACUGUUGCUCAGAAAUGGGAGCCAUUUUUGGGAAUUUCCUUUCUGAUGAUGAAUAAUUCGCUAAUUUCUCUUAUCCAGUUUUGAAGCUUUGGUUUUUCCUUUACAGAUAGAUCUUUCAAGAUAAAUUAUGCCUGAGUCAAUCCAAUGUUUGUAGAAAAGGGACUUCCCUCUAGAAUCUGUUUAAAAGGCAGAUCCCCAGAUGAUAUGGUUUCCGACUUCAUCUGCUGUACAUGGUUCCUUCACAAAACCACCUCCUGCUUUGUGCCAGCUUUGAAUAAUGCCUUGAUAAAAAAGUGGGAAUUCCUGUCAGAUCUGGACAGUGUUUUUUUUCUUUAAAGUGCAUUCUUAAGAUAAGGAAAUCUUUACCUAGUCUAUUUAAAUACAAUUUGGGUAGCAGUUUCCAAUCUCCUGAUGAUGUAUCCAUGAUGCGCUUCACCCAGCCAGCAUGAAGUGCUUCUAUAUGAGAUUGAAUAUCUAACAUUUUUAUACCCCUUGUAUUAUAAUCUCCUAAAAUAACAGAUCUUUUGAUUUUAUCUCUCUUUCCAGACCAAAGAAAGUCAAAAAACAAAGUAUUCAGCCUGACAGUCACAUUAUUUGGCACAUCACACACAGUAGCCCAGUACAUAAUUUUAGCUGCAAUCAAUGAUUUCAGAAUAGUUACUUUGCCAUAUAAUGUGAGAUUCCUUUGUCUCCAUAGAUUUAAAACAUGUUCUAUAUUAUUGAUUUUCUCAUUCCAUAGGUUCGUCUCACAUGAAAGUUUGUUGUUGUGGUGUGGCUGGUGAGCUGCGAGGACCCAGAAGCAGGCACUGAGACAGAGAUCAACUAAAGGUGUAAUUUUAAUGUCCAAACUCAGGAUUGAAAUGCAAACAGAGGAAGUCCGGAGGGCUGGUUGGCUGGCUGUCGUGUAGGCUGGAGACACUGCAGGAAAAACCAGAGGAGAAGGAAGUAAGUGAACAUGCAAAGAAUCACAAGGAGCAAAGUUAUUGAUACUCAUACAACGAGGAAGGCCAGGGGCCUGUUCUACGAAGCAGGAUUACUGCUUAGCGAGGUAACUUCGAGGAUAAGUUCGGGGUUUCCUGUUCUACGACGCGGGUUCACUUCUUAGCGAGGCGAGUCUCCAUGGCAACAUACGCUGAACGGCUUACCUGCUCCGGGGCAGGCUAAGUUCCAGAUUGAACUCACGGAGCAUAAAAACCCUGCCCACUGACCAAUGAGCUCUCUCGAAAAACGGCUUGUCCGUUCUUGGAGGAUCCUGUAGACCUCGGUGCUCGCAUUGUCCGAGGAGCACUCCGGCGCGCGAGAGUUUUCAGGGACCGCACGGACCCACUUACUUCUCCGGAUGACCACCUUUAUGAAAGGCUCAUAUGGCCGACAUAUCACACAAAACAUGUAAACACGAUAGGAAUGAAUACAUGAAUGAAUUCAUCUUGGAAAUGAAUGGGCAUGGGCUGCGUGAUCACAGACAACAUCUCGGUACUAUUUAGUAGCAGCGCAUGCCCCUUUUAAUAACCCCGUAAAUACUGUUGUUCAUGACUGUUUACUUGUGCUUCCUACCUACUGUAACAACUGUUGUUCUAGCAUACAUGCAAAAUUUUUGUUCUCAUUCAUCAAACGCUUAAAUCGGGGACAUUUUCGGGGACAGCUUUAGCCGGGGACAGAUCAUCCAAUUCGGCGCUGAGGCUGAGGGCUGCAGGCUUCUUAAAGUGCUUUGAUUGGAGAUGUGGAGCAGGUGUGUAGUCUCACUCAGCCUCAGGGACCGGGGGAGGGGCGGAAGCUCUGGAAGAGAGUGAAGCCAGACCAGGCAAACAAGGAAACACAGGAAGUCCAGCCAAAAUAAAACAAGAGAAGGAGGCGUCUCACCACAGUUGUAACCAAAAUGUACACCAAGUGAUUUUACAGGACCAGUUGGCCACCUUAUUCCACUGAUUUCUUUUCGCCUAAAUUUCCAGCAACCAACCCAAAUUGCUUCGGUUUUCUGUAAGUUCAAUUCAGGGCCUGCAACUUUGCCAAAAGAUGAUAUCAUUUCUAGUGCUGUAGUUAGUGACCUUUCGCCACCAAGCAGUAGAGUAGUAUCAUCUGCUACUUGUGAAGUUUUAACCUCAUGGGUAGCACUUCCAUCUGACAAAUUGAUACCUUUGAUGUUUGCAUUUUGAUUAAUAUACAGUGCUAGAAUUUCCAUGGCAAAAAGAAACAAGAUUGCGGACAAAGGGCAACCUUGCCUAAUUCCCCGACUAAGGUCAAAGAAUUCUCCAUUGUUGACUACUGCACUACAGUUUGUAUGAAUAGUUUGAAUCCAUCUUAGAAACAAACUCCCAAAGUUGAAUCUCUUUAGUGCUUUAAAUAAAAAGAUCCACUCUACACUAUCAAAUGCCUUUUUAAAGUCUAGAAAGAGAACUAUACCAGGAAUUUGUAAAGCGCCGAGAGUGUGUGGACCCAAAAGCAGUGGACGUGAGGCAAUUGUUCAGUUUCCAAAGGGCAAACUCUUUUAUUCCAACCAAAAGAAAACCCGGCAGGGUCAAAAUCAGAGCAGCAAAUAAUCAGGCGACAAAAACCAGUGGGACAGGCAAGAAUCAAAAAUCCAGGACGAUCAAAACAGGUCAUACACGGGAAGCAGAGAUAUGCGACAAAAACCAGUGGGACAGGCAAGAAUCAAAAAUCCAGGACGAUCAAAACAGGUCAUACACGGGAAGCAGAGAUAUAUCAAAACGCGAGAGAGCUUGUACUAAAGUGACAAAGACAAUCUGGCAGGGAAGAGCUAGUGAGGAGGGGUUAAAUAGAGAAGGGGACAAAACACAGGUGAAGCCAAUGGGGUAAUUAACUAAGGCGGGAAAAGGAACAAAGACCGGAAGUAAAGGUAACAGCAACACAGGAAAAACAGGAUCUUCAAAAUAAAACAGGAAGUGGAUUUCACAGCACAGAUCAUGACAGUACCUCCCCCCUCAAGGGGCGUCUCUAGACUACCCCGGAACAUCUGGAUUCAGUCUCUGAAAGUCUCUGAUUAACGUUUUGUCCAGAAUGUCCUUUGCAGGGACCCAGGACCUCUCCUCGGGCCCGUACCCCUCCCAAUCGACGAGGUACUGGCGGCCCCUGCCCCUACGACGGACAGCCAGCAGGCGAUUCACCGUGUAAACUGGGCCUCCAUCAAUUACCCUGGGUGGUGGAGGCGGGUCGGAGGGUGGGAGCAGACGACUUGUCCUGACGGGUUUGAUCCGUGACACAUGGAAGGUGGGGUGGACCCUCAUGGUCCGAGGAAGGCGAAGGCGAACGGCAGCAGGGUUGAUGACUUCUGAGAUGGGAAAGGGCCCCACGAACCUUGGAGCCAGCUUGCGACACUCCCCCCGAACCGGCAGGUCACGGGUGGAAAGCCAAACCUCUUGACCAACGUGGUAGCGAGGGGCUUGGGAGCGACGGCGGUUGGCGGACCUCUGGUACCCAAUGUUGGUGCGGAGAAGGGCUGCACGGGCUCUCCUCCAGGUGAGGUGACAUCGGCGGACCAAGGCGUGGGCUGAUGGAACUGUGACCUCCCCCUCGAGGUCCUGGAAAAGAGGGGGCUGGUACCCGUAGACACACUGGAACGGGGACAGGCCAGUAGAAGCCACAGGGAGGGAGUUGUGGGCAUACUCCACCUAGAGGAGCUGCUGCGGCCAGUUGGUUGGACUCCGGGAGGUGAUGCAGCGGAGAGCUGUCUCCAUCUCUUGAUUGUACCUCUCCGUCUGGCCAUUCGUUUGGGGGUGGAAACCGGAGGAGAGGCUGACCGACGCUCCGAGCAGCCGGCAGAACUCCUUCCAGGAGCGUGAGGCGAACUGGGGACCCCGAUCAGACACAAUGUCCUGAGGAAGACCAUGGAGACGAAACACAUUAAAUAAAACUGCCUUCGCUGUCUCCUUGGCGGAAGGCAACUUAGGCAGGGCGACAAAAUGGGCCAUCUUGGAGAAGGAUGACAGCUUAAUAGAGAGGAGUGCCCCCACUGCAGGACUCGGUAGCGGAGCGGGCCUGGGACAAAAAGCCGGCCAGGAGGGCAUCCCACAGGAAUCCUGGCCGUCAAAAGUGCUUGCUGGACCUCCCUCUCGAUGUCCCAGGUCACCGCCCCGAUCACACAGUCGGAGGGCAGGAUAGGAGCUGCAUCCUGGGGGCGGUUUCCUGCCUCAAACUGCCUGGACAGGGCAUCCGGCUUGACGUUUCGGGACCCAGGGCGAUAAGACAGGGUGAAAUCAAACCUGGUGAAGAACAGGGCCCACCUAGCCUGUCUGGAGUUUAGUCUUUUGGCUCCACGGAUGUACUCCAGGUUUUUGUGGUCCGUCCAGACUAGGAAGGGUUGCUCUGCCCCCUCCAACCAGUGCCUCCACUCCUCCAGUGCCAGCUUCACGGCCAGCAGCUCCCGGUUCCCCACAUCGUAGUUGCGCUCGGCUUGAGACAGCUUCCGGGAGAAGAAGGCGCACGGAUGAACCUUUCCGUCACCCGCAGAACGUUGGGAGAGAACCGCUCCUACCCCAACGUCGGACGCAUCCACCUCGACAAUGAACUGGAGCUUGGGGUCGGGCAUCUGCAGGAUGGGGGACAAGGAGAACCUGGACAGGAGGGUUCGGAAGGCUGACUCUGCCUCAGAGGACCAGGCAAAUCUCGAGUUUGAGGAGGUGAGAGCAUGCAGAGGGGCUGCUAUGUGGCUGUAGUUACGGAUGAACCUGCGGUAGAAAUUGGCGAAACCCAGAAAACGUUGGAGCUGUUUCCGAUCGGUGGGAACAGGCCAAUCCAUAACGGCCUUGACCUUUUCAGGGUCCAUCUUGAUCUGACCUGGUGAAAUCACAAGUCCCAGAAAAGACACCGUUGUCCGGUGAAACUCACAUUUCUCAGCUUUUACAAAUAACUGAUGAUGAUAAAGCCGCUGCAGCACCUGACGGACGUGACCCACAUGCUCCUCUUCAGUCUGGGAAAAGACCAGGAUGUCGUCGAGAUAGACAAAAACGUAAACAUUCAGCAUCUCUCUGAGAACGUUGUUAAUCAGCGACUGAAAUACAGCAGGAGCACUAGUAAGUCCAAAAGGCAUUACCAGGUACUCAUAGUGGCCACUGGGGGUGUUGAAAGCCGUCUUCCACUCGUCUCCUUCACGAAUCCGAACUAGAUGGUAGGCGUUGCACAGGUCGAGUUUGGUGAAGACACGAGCCCCUUAAAGCAGUUCAAACGCCGAUGAGAGGAGUGGCAAUGGGUAGCGGUUCUUCACCGUGAUAUCAUUCAGUCCCUGGUAAUCAAUACAUGGACGAAGGGUCUUAUCUUUCUUGUCCACGAAGAAGAACCCAGCUCCAGCAGGGGAGGAAGAAGGACGGAUGAUCCCUGCCGCUAGCCCCUCCUGGAUGUAUUUAUCCAUGGCCUUCCGCUCAGGCGCGGAUAUAGAGUACAGACGGCCCUUGGGUGGCAUUGUUCCAGGAAGCAACUCAAUAGCACGAUCAUACGGGCGGUGUGGAGGUAAGGAUGCGGCCCGGCCUUUGGAGAAAACCUCCUUUAUGUCCAGGUAGACCCUUGGCACCAUGGACAAAUCUGGGAACUCAAAAGAAGAAUCAGCAGACCUAUGGGGAACAGGCAGAGAGAGCAGGCAGGCUGACUGGCAGGCUAGGCUCCAUCCUAACACCCUGCCUGUAGCCCAGUCCAUCAGGGGGUUAUGUCUACACAACCAGGAGUAACCCAGGAUAAGAGGGUAGUGGGGGGAAUCAAUAAUCAGGAAAGAAAUAGUCUCUUUGUGGUUACCUGACAUCUGCAGAGACAGGAGAGGAGUCUGUUCAGUAACCUGUCCAAGCAGGUGGCCAUCGAGGGCGCGGGCAUGGUGCGCUUCAGGGAGAGGCUUGAGCUGCAGGUCCAGCUGUCAGGCCAGGUCCCGGUCCAUAAAACUUUCAUCAGCGCCGGAAUCGAUGAGAGCUGAUAGAUCCAGGACAUUCGUGGAAGAAGUGAUGAGCUGAACUGGGGUCAAGGCGCGUUUAGGUGCAGAGGCGCUUGCGGAGUGACUCACCAGUAGGCCUCUGGUUCCCCCACAGUAGAGACAGAGUCCCUCACGCUGGCGGCGACGUCGCUCCUCUAGACUUAGGCGAGUCCGACCAAGCUGUAUGGGUUCCAUUGGGGGGCUAGACGGUGUAAUUCCCAAGGCCGUUGCAGAGCCAUGCUCUCCCCGAUUCAGCCGAUCCACAUGGCCCGUUGGCCGGAGCUGCUCCCGUUCAUGUCGCCGGUUGUCAACCUUGAUAGCUAGUUCCACGAGAGCUUCGAAACUGGUAGGGAGAUCAACCAUGGUCAGUCUAUCUUUUAAAUCCUCAGAAAGACUCAAAAGAAAGUGUCAGCAAGGGCCUCAUCGUUCCAGCGACUCUCAGCCGCCAGAGUGCGGAACCGGAUGGCAUGAUCAAAAACACAGCUACUGCCUUGCCUGAGCCGACCCAGUGCACAGGCUGCCUCCCGGCCCGAAACAGGUUGACCAAACACACGGGCCAAAGCAGCAGAAAAGGCAUCCACAGAGGCACAAACGGAUGAACCCCUCUGCCACUCAGCAGUGGCCCACUCUCUCGCCCGCCCGGUGAGAUUUGUGAUCAUGAAAGCCACUUUAGAGCGUUCAGUGCAGAAGGUGAUGGGCUGAAGCUCGAAGGUUAGCGAGCAGAGAGUCAAAAAUGAGCGACAAGUCUCAGGAGUUCCGUCAUACCUCUCAAUAGGCGGAGCACUCGGCUCAGAAUGGUGACCCAGGGAAGCAGAGGGAACUGAAGGUGAAGAGGAGAUGUCGGGGCUCGAAGCGACAGUUUGCAGUGUAUCCAGGCGAACCAUCAGCUGGUUAGUCUGAGUAGCCAAGGCUUGCAGCUGGGCAGACAACGACUGAACUCCAGGGCCCAGGCUGGAGAUGGCCCUCUCCAACUCGGUUAGACGUCUUCCCUGUGCCCCCAGAGCAUGGCAAAAGUCCUCACCUGCUGGGUCCAUCAUGGCCAGAUUGUACUGUAAAGCGCCGAGAGUGUGUGGACCCAAAAGCAGUGGACGUGAGGCAAUUGUUCAGUUUCCAAAGGGCAAACUCUUUUAUUCCAACCAAAAGAAAACCCGGCAGGGUCAAAAUCAGAGCAGCAAAUAAUCAGGCGACAAAAACCAGUGGGACAGGCAAGAAUCAAAAAUCCAGGACGAUCAAAACAGGUCAUACACGGGAAGCAGAGAUAUAUCAAAACGCGAGAGAGCCUGUACUAAAGUGACAAAGACAAUCUGGCAGGGAAGAGCUAGUGAGGAGGGGUUAAAUAGAGAAGGGGACAAAACACAGGUGAAGCCAAUGGGGUAAUUAACUAAGGCGGGAAAAGGAACAAAGACCAGAAGUAAAGGUAACAGCAACACAGGAAAAACAGGAUCUUCAAAAUAAAACAGGAAGUGAUUUCACAGCACAGAUCAUGACAGAAUUUGCAUUUCAUCUAUAUAGUCAAUAGCAUCUGUAAUAAGGCGUACGUUUUGUCCAAUGAAUCUG
rnacentral:lncRNA from 1 species